GCGAGACACCUUGAUCAGAUAAAAUCAGGAAAUGUUUUGAGCGAUGACUUAAAAGGGAGCUCAGAGACCGCCAACCUGAUUUCCUCAGUUCAUCCCAGAGCUGACGGGCCCGGACUGAAAACGCCUCCCCCCCCACCCCCCCCCUGUGUUUUCAGACAAGCUUUUGGGACCAGAAGCAGCUCUUUGCCCGAGGAUCGCAGACUGUGCACUGGAGGGUACGGUGUUCAAAGCCGCCUGCUCCGUGAGGUUGAGCGUGGACCAGCAGAGCACCUGUGAGCCGUGGAGGCCUUUCAGCAGAGACACUCUGAGCUCCUCCGGCUCAGGGAGCUGGUGCGAGGGUGGGAGGUGGAUGUAGCACUGCACCUGUGCUGUCCCGUCGGUGCUGUCCACCCUGUAAGGCUGAGUCACCUCCAGAGCUGGAAGAGGAUGGAAACCAUUAUCAGGAUAGAUUCUACUCUGGUGUGGGACUGUGUCAAAAACUGCAGUUCCUCUAAUGGCCACAGGGGGCCAGCUCCAAUAGUGAGUCAAUCCUCAUAGAGCCCCAUAUUAAAACACACAGCUGCAGAAACAAAGAGGUUUGCAUCAUUAUGUGAAGCUCUAACAACCCGAGCACUCGAUACCUCCUCGUUUCUCUCAGCCAAUCAAAGUGGUCGAUGUUUCAGAGACUGCCUCCAUGUUUUUAAAAGGUAGGGAGCAGAACUAGACUGCACAAGAACUGAACAACAAAUGUUCCCCUGCAGCCUUUCCAAUUUAGGGUCAGAGGUCAACGUGAGUAACAGAUACUGGCUGCAGCAAUGGAACUGAAUAUGUAACUCAAUAACAGAAUUUAAAGCUCCAGUAAGGAGUUUUUAGCCGGUUAUCAAACAGACUUAAACAUUAAAUCCAUCAGUGAGUA